rnacentral:rRNA from 1 species
UACGUAGGGGGCGAGCGUUGUCCGGAUUCAUUGGGCGUAAAGAGCUCGUAGGCGGUUCAGUAAGUCGGGUGUGAAAUCUCCGUGCUCAACACGGAGCGGCCACCUGAUACUGCUGUGACUCGAGUCCGGUAGGGGAGUGUGGAAUUCCCGGUGUAGCGGUGAAAUGCGCAGAUAUCGGGAGGAACACCUGUGGCGAAGGCGGCCCCCUGGUUGGAUACUGACGCUGAUACGCGAAAGCGUGGGGAGCAAACAGG